rnacentral:rRNA from 1 species
UACAGAGGGUGCAAGCGUUAAUCGGAAUUACUGGGCGUAAAGCGUGCGUAGACGGUUAUGUAAGUCAGAUGUGAAAGCCCCGGGCUCAACCUGGGAAUUGCAUUUGAGACUGCAUAGCUAGGGUGCGGAAGAGGGAAGCGGAAUUUCCGGUGUAGCGGUGAAAUGCGUAGAUAUCAGGAGGAACACCUGUGGUGUAGACAGCUUACUGGACCACUUCUGACGCUGAGACACGAAAGCGUGGGUAGCAAACAGG